UACGUAGGUGGCAAGCGUUGUUCGGAAUUAUUGGGCGUAAAGGGCGCGUAGGCGGUUUGCUAAGUCAGUUGUGAAAGCCCGGGGCUCAACCCCGGAGGGUCGGCUGAUACUGGUGGACUAGAGUACGGAAGAGGUAGCUGGAAUUCCCGGUGUAGCGGUGAAAUGCGUAGGUAUCUGGAGGAACACCGGUGGCGAAGGCGGCAUCCUGGACCAUUACUGACGCUGAGGAGCGAAAACCAGGGGAGCAAACGGG
rnacentral:rRNA from 1 species